AGUGAACGCUGGCGGUAGGCCUAACACAUGCAAGUCGAACGGCAGCACAGUAAGCGCUUGCUCUUACGGGUGGCGAGUGGCGGACGGGUGAGGAGUACAUCGGAAUCUACUUUUUCGUGGGGGAUAACGUAGGGACACUUACGCUAAUAGCGCAUACGACCUACGGGUGAAAGCAGGGGAUCUUCGGACCUUGCGCGAUUGAAUGAGCCGAUGUCGGAUUAGCUAGUUGGCGGGGUAAAGGCCCACCAAGGCGACGAUGCGUAGCUGGUCUGAGAGGAUGAUCAGCCACACUGGAACUGAGACACGGUCCAGACUCCUACGGGAGGCAGCAGUAGGGAAUAUUGGACAAUGGGCGAAAGCCUGAUCCAGCCAUACCGCGUGAGUGAAGAAGGUCUUCGGAUUGUAAAGCCCUUUUAUUAGGAAAGAACAGCAGUAUGUUAAUACACCGCUGUUCUGACGGUACCUAAAGAAUAAGCACCGGCUAACUUCGUG
rnacentral:rRNA from 1 species